CCCUUCCCAACGCAUCUCAAAAACCGAAGUCUCUUCCAACCCAUCCAAAGUUUCCAGCCUCUCUCUGUCUUCACUGUCUCACGUUUAUGACUUCUUUCUCUCCGUUGGUUGCACUUUUUGUCUGUCGUAUCUGGGAAUUUUCUCUUUAAUGUAUCAAUCCGCUUUCUUCGAUCUUUGAUGUUUUACCCCCCCCUUUUUUUUUUCUUAAAAUGUGAAAGGCAACAAAUUAGAGUCUCUGAUGCGCUCUUUUGGUAGCGUUUUCAGUGCUGUACGUUGCCGAUAUCAAUCUGGGAGCUGAGAUUCUGGCGUUUGCCUCGCAUUUUUCGUAAGGUUUUUGCAUUCAGAUGCUCCUACAAUCAUUUGUAUUAUCCUUCACAAUUUAUAGGUUAGUGGGUCAAUUUUAUUUGUGACGCUUAAUCCAAUCAACUCACAGCAGUUGUAGGGUUGUUACUAGAGGUGGUGGUUGCAAUGGUAUAUCCAUUGGAAUUUGUGUUGGACUGGUUUCUUUGCGUCACAUGUUAUUUCUUAUGGUAGAUCUUUUUGGUUGCAGCAUUCCUCUGCAAACAAAAGAUUUUAUGGAGCUUAACGUGUUGCAAUGGAGUAUCCGAGGAAGUUGUUUGGUCGUUGCAAUGCUAACAUGUUUUGUGCGAAAAAAAAGAAUGAAAGUAGUGCAAUUGCUUUAUUGGUAAACAAA